GCGCCCGUAGCUCAGUCGGAUAGAGCGCUGGCCUCCGAAGCCAGGUGCGGGGGUUCGAGUCCCUCCGGGCGUA
rnacentral:tRNA from 1 species